rnacentral:lncRNA from 1 species
ACGUCUGUUUACUUUCCAGUAGCAGACCUUGAAAACCCUGGAAGAGGGCCAUCAAACCUGCUUCAAAGGACAACCUCUGUAACAGCACCCCAGAACUGGGAGAAAGCUUUGUUAACAGCUGAUCUCAACAUUUUUUUACUACUCUGUCAGAGACUGUCUCUAGUCAUACCUGGAAAAUCAUGGCUGAAAACAGACCUUGCUCUCUGUGAAUGGACAGUUCAGCAUAUCGCCUCUCCUGGGUACGGGGGUGAGAGUCUACCACCUAUGCCUAUGGUCUCUCUGCUUCACAAGUUUUCCUGCUUAGGACCUAUGUGGGGAUGUGUGGAAGGAUGUUGUCUGAAGGGAACCUGUCUUCAGCUGAGAAGACCAUGAAUCCCUGGAGACAAGAGACAGUGAGAUGGUGACAUUGGUUGACUUGCUUUGACUGAAUUUAGGUUUUGAAGGCUGUGUUGGACAGGGAGACUGGCACAAAAUAAACUAGGACAUGAAUUAACA